GUUCUUCCUGCUCGACUGCUGAUGCUCACACACAGAUGUGCCCAGAGCAGGCUGUGAGGUGGAACCUACCUUUGGGUGAACUUACCUGCCAGUGCUACAAUGUAACUCUUGUAUGUGAGGGAAAUGCAGUAUGCUGAUUUAGGAUGGAAAUACCUGAAACAGCCCAGGUGUCAUUCUUGUCUCCUAGGAAAGCUAAAUCUUGUGGGUCUGCAUUUAUAUCUUGAAAAUGUCCCACCAAUUUCUUUAAGAAUCUG